CCUACCAACUCUAUUUCCAUUCAUUUUCUCUCCAUCAAAGAUAUUUUUUUUAAUAAAUAAACACAUUUUUUAUUUUUUAUUUUUCUAUUUAUUGUAACAUCAAUUUUUUUUUUACAUAAUUCAAAAGACAAUCAAAGUUUCUACUCUAUCACCCCUUGUUUCCACAUUUUUUUUGUUGAAAGAAUUCAAAAGACAAUCAAAGCUUCUACCUAUCACCUCUUGUUUCCAUAUUCUUUUGUUGAAAGGUAUGGCUAACCGCAGACAAAACAGAAAUUCAUCCGUGCAAAAAGAUACAAAUUUUCCUACAGAAACAUUAGCACGGACUGAAGAUAAUUUCAAAUGGACUUAUAACCGAGAAAGAAUAUUUAUUGAUUUGUACGAUCAAGCAAUUGCCAUGAAUGGUUACCGCUUCAAAGAUCCUACACCCAUUGGAUCAAAUGCCAGAGAAUGAUGAAGGUGACAUGGAGACUACGACUAUUGCUGAUGGAGAUCAAAUGACAAACACUAGAGAAAAUAUUGCAGAUAUGUUAUGGAAAAAUCAAAAUAAUUUCCAUUAAACUAUUGUAAGUUUUAUUUUUGUUGC